GCAGACUUCACCUAUUGGGUGGGUGAGUGGGCUACCUUUGGUGGUGCGCACUGAUCCGGUAGGAGGGGAACGUCCUGUUGCCGCCCACCCAGUUAGCGCGCGGUAUCGAAAGAGGGCGCCCUCGCAUUACAUUACCGUCAAAAUGGCAGCCAUGGACAUGCCGUCUGUGCGGCUGCAAUGUGAUUUUUAGUAAUUUUGAGUAUAGCAAAGCCAUCGAAUGUGGUGUAAAUCCCUCUUAUCUGCGCGAACUAAAUACAGUGCAACUUAAUCGAUGCACAAAAGACAUACGGAGCCAUUUGCAGAAGUGGAAAGUCGCUGCAUAUGAUGUGAAUGUCGAGUGGAAACUGAUCCUCCUGCGAUGUGGUUUGUUCGACGUCGAUGCAUACACUGAUAAGACAAUACGUCCAGCGCAUAGGUACAAGUUAGGGUUGAGUUGGACAUCAUCAAGGAAAUGUUGUCAUACACUCCAUAAAGGGAAAGGCAAACCAUUCCGUGAUGUGAAUAAAGCAACUAGCCGUGAGAUCAUAGAUGUUUGAUCGAUGGGGUACCAUGAUCACUGUUGGAACAGGUAUCUGUAGAGGUUGUCUAUCUUAGCACAAACAAGCAGUUACGCACCAGACAGCGGAACAAUUACCAUCUAGCGAUGUGCUCUCUAAGGAACAAGAAGAGCAUCAGUGUACAAUCAGUGAUUUCACAUCGCCGGCUGGUGUACCAUCUCUCCAACCCACCGACACAGCGUGCACUUCAGUUCAUGAGCAUACAUCUGAGUCCUCAUCAACUGAUGGAGAUAUUACACAGGAUGUAGGUGCACUUGACUCUUCUUGGGCUCCAACCCCCUGACCAAAGAAUGUGGAGCUGCAAUCCCUGAACACUUUCCUUACUCAGGGGGGAAUGUCUGCUGUUGAUGGGCAGCUUCAUCUGUCAUUAGAAUAAGCAUCUGAUAGCACCAUCCAUUAUUAUAGAAGGAAGGCAAAGGAAGCCUUUGGUUUAGUUCUUCAUUGUUUAGCACCACGUCAAGAAGAUGGGCUCAUGAAGAUUACAAUCGGUGAAACAACUGCUUAAUCAUCACAAAGUGGUCAAAAUUUUGAUAGUAGUGCCCGUUUUCAUUUUUUUUUAUUGCAUCCUUUUUUACCAACAUUUUUGCAUUAGUGGUUCCAUGUUCUCUUCCUUUACGUAUUUUGUGUUUAAACAAAGGGUUAUCAUGGUUUGUUAUUUAAAGACAGUGACUGUUUUUGUUUUUUAAUGUUAAUUUAAGAAGGAAAACAAUUUCUUGAUUUAUAUUCUAUUGUUUUUUCGAGUUUGAUCGUUAGGUUGUUCCAUGUGUCAUUCUAUUUUGAUACUGUGUUGGUUCAGUUUUCUUCUUUCAACUUCCAUUUAAGUUUAAAGUUCAAUUUAGUUUUGUACAGUUGACUCUCGUUAUAGCAAGGUCGGUGAGACUGCCCAAACUACCUCUUUAAACAGAAAUGUUGCUUUAAAAGGACAGAGAAACAAAGAGACACAAAGAGAACUAGAGAUUCGAGACCUCAGAAUGUGCUCUAUAUAAGCAGCAGUAGGACAUCUUUGUAAAAGUGUUCUUUAUAACAAAAGUCGACUGUAGUACUACCAUUUUACUUAUUUGGUGGGGUGGAUAAAAGUUAAUUUGGAUCCUUUUUGAUUAUUGGUUUUUUGAAAGGUUUUCUUCAAAUUUUGGUUGGUAAAAUAAAUCAUUCUUUUUUGGUCUUUCUAAAACUUUGUCAUUGUUUCUAUUUAUUCAAAUUCCUCUCUACUUGUUCCUACCCCAUCUAGGUGUGUCUCAUUUUUGACGAGUGCCCCAACAUUUAGCGUUUUUCUCAUUCAAUUUAUUAUUUUCCUAGUUUAUUAAUUUUCCGGGUUACAUUAACAUGCCAAAAAAAUAACAGAAUUGUCAUCCAAGCCUCAUCAUUCCCACAUUUGGUGCGCGAUAUGUGGCAGGGUGUAACC
rnacentral:lncRNA from 1 species